UACGUAGGGUGCGAGCGUUAAUCGGAAUUACUGGGCGUAAAGCGUGCGCAGGCGGCUUUGCAAGACAGAUGUGAAAUCCCCGGGCUCAACCUGGGAACUGCAUUUGUGACUGCAAGGCUAGAGUACGGCAGAGGGGGAUGGAAUUCCGCGUGUAGCAGUGAAAUGCGUAGAUAUGCGGAGGAACACCAAUGACGAAGGCAAUCCCCUGGGCCUGUACUGACGCUCAUGCACGAAAGCGUGGGGAGCAAACAGG
rnacentral:rRNA from 1 species